rfam:Oryza nivara chromosome 3, whole genome shotgun sequence.
AAGAAGUGUAGUUUUAGUACUAUUCAUGUUCAACGUUUGAUCGUUCGUUUUAUUUGAAAAAAGAUUAUGAUUAGUAUUUUUAUUGUUAUUAGAUGAUAAAACAUGAAUAGUACUUUAUGUGUGACUAAUUUUUUUAAUAUUUUUCAUAAUUUUUUCAAAUAAGACGGAUGGUCAAAGCGCUAAACACAUAUAUUUAUAGCUUCACUUAUU